GCAAUGUGCAGAGUAUGAUCAGUCAGUAAGCACAGAAAUCUUUCUCUUUCAAAGAACCUCUUCAAAGAUAGAUCACCACGGUGGAGCAAAUUCUCAAAGAUCGUGAUCUAUAAAUCACAAAUGAAAGUGUUAGGUUAUCCAAGGUCUUUGUGAUCAACUAAGACACGUCUAUUUAUAGUUUUCUAUAAAUGAGACACUCUUGUCGCAACCGGAAAAUCGCGACGGGACGACGAUUGAAAAAGAAAAAGAGUUUUGAACAAGAGAUUGGGGAGUCGCCACCAUAGUUUAUUCUGGAAAAACUACGGAAAAACCAUAAAAUGAUAAAGCACGGUCCACGAAAAUUUAGGUUCUUGUGAUUUUGGUGAGGGUGAAGAUACUGGUUCAGUGUGUAAGUGGGGGACGAAUAGUUGAAGGUUCUUGUGCGUUUAGAAAGAAGAAGGAAAGAACAAACCGAUAAGAACAUUAUGGUGCCGGAGUAGCAGAGUAAAACAACAAUAUCAUGGAGAAGCAUAAACCCAUAUACAAAUCAAGACUAGCAAGCAGAACCCAAAUGCUAGCAAACACAGAAUCGCACGUAUCAGAAUGAAUAGUGACAGUAAGCUGUGAUCGUGAGACUUACCUCUGUGUUUUGAUUUUGAUUCUUUUUCUAUGGCCUGUAAUUUUGAAUCAAUGCUCCUUGAUUUCCUUUUUUGAAUGAAUUCCUUUUUUGAAUGUCUUGUAUCGUUUCCUUCUUGUGAGUGAAAAACCGUGAAUUGAUGGAUGAUGUAUGGCGUAUGAGGUAAAGGAAAUCCAGAAUGCUUAAGCUGAUGGUGAAGUGUUGGAGGUGAAUUGAGAGUGAGAGGAAAAAGUGGUUCAGGUUAGGAUGUUGGGAUCAUUUUUCUAAUGGGGUCCUUCUUCUCAUGAUAUUAGCCCCUGUUGUCUUCUUGUGUUCUCUGUUCUGAUGGUGCACUCCUGUGGGUUUUUUUUUAAUCUCAUAGUGAAGUCUUUUACAUGAAUCAUGUAUCCCUUUUUUUUCAACCAUGAAACUUGAUCCUCUCUUUUCCUUUCUCUCCUUUCUGAAUCAUCGGGGCAUAUCUCUUAGGAUUUCCCCUUUGUCUUUUUCUUUUUCUUGCGUUUAAAUUGAAUUCAUUAGGCAAAGUGAUUCAAAUUUCCUUUCCUCUUUGAUGUAAGAUUGUGGUUCUGCCCAAGGAUUAUGGUCUGUACACAGUGAGCAUUUUAUUGCAGGGGAAAUAGCCUUCUAAAUUAAGCAUGUUAUGAGCUGUGGUACGUUGGAGGGAAGAGAGCUCCAGAGAGCAGUCGUUGUCUUGUGUGUGACUGAGCACCAAUCUGCUAUACCUUUCUUUUUUUCUUCUUCUUCUUUUUUUUGGAUUUUUUUUUUUUUUUGUUUUUGUUAACGCUUAACAUAAAAACAAGAUUCAACUAAAUAAAAAGAAACUAACGUAAAAAGGAAAAAAUAAAUAAAUAAAAUAAAAUAAAAAAUUAAAAUUAAAAUAAAAAUAAAAAAUGAGAUAACUCCAAAUAACAAAAAAAGUAAAAUAAAAAUAAAAUAAAAACUAAUAUAAAAAUGAAAUUAAAUAAUACAAAACAAAAUUAAAAGAUUAAAAGACAUAAAUAAGAUAAAAUAAAGUGAAAAACAUAAACACGUCUUAUUUAGUCCGAACGAAAUUGGGUAUUGACACUCCUGUAGUCGAUUAAGCUACUAAUAAAGUCGGUUAUCCUCAAAUAGAC
rnacentral:lncRNA from 1 species